rnacentral:rRNA from 1 species
AGUGAACGCUGGCGGUAGGCCUAACACAUGCAAGUCGAACGGCAGCACAGGAGAGCUUGCUCUCUGGGUGGCGAGUGGCGGACGUGUGAGGAAUACAUCGGAAUCUACUUUUUCGUGGGGGAUAACGUAGGGAAACUUACGCUAAUACCGCAUACGACCUACGGGUGAAAGCAGGGGAUCUUCGGACCUUGCGCGAUUGAACGAGCCGAUGUCGGAUUAGCUAGUUGGCGGGGUAAAGGCCCACCAAGGCGACGAGCCGUAGCUGGUCUGAGAGGAGGAUCAGCCACACUGGAACUGAGACACGGACCAGACUCCUGCGGGAGGCAGCAGUGGGGAAUAUUGGACAAUGGGCGCAAGCCUGAUCCAGCCAUACCGCGUGGGUGAAGAAGGCCUUCGGGUUGUAAAGCCCUUUUGUUGGGAAAGAAAUCCAGCUGGUUAAUACCCGGUUGGGAUGACGGUACCCAAAGAAUAAGCACCGGCUAACUUCGUGCCAGCCGCCGCCGUAA